AGAGAGAGACAUGCGCGCAUAUCAAUAAGCGGAGGAAAAGAAACUAACAAGGAUUCCCCUAGUAACGGCGAGCUGAAGCGGGAAGAGCUCAAAUUUGAAAUCUUAAAGGGUUUCCCUUUACGAAUUGUAGUUUAAAGAAGUGUUUUCUGUUGAGGUUUUGGUAAAAGUUCUUUGGAAUAGGACAUCAUAGAGGGUGAGAAUCCCGUAUUUGACCUUUACUUUCAACUUUGUGAUACACUUUCAAAGAGUCGGAUUGUUUGGGAAUGCAGUCCAAAAUGGGUGGUAAAUUUCAUCUAAAGCUAAAUAUUGGCGAGAGACCGAUAGCGAACAAGUACCGUGAGGGAAUGAUGAAAAGAACUUUGAAAAGAGAGUUAAACAGUACGUGAAAUUGUCAAAAGGGAAGCGUUUGACACCAGUGUUGUUUUUCUGAAAAUCAAUUAAAGAACUGUUUAUGCUAAGCUGUUUAGACUUUAUCAGCUAACUGUUUAGUUUUGAGCUUUUCUUUAAUGCACUUUUCAGUUAACAAGUCAACAUCAAUUUCUUUUGCUGUAAAAAGCUUGAGGAAGGUGGCUUGAGAUUCGUCUUAAGUGUUUAUAGCCUCUUGCCUAUGCAGUCGGAGAGAUUGAGGUCUGCAGCGUAGAUCCUUCGGGGCUAAAUGCAUUUGUGCUAAGUUAUAGCAUUUUAUAGACAACUUGUUGACUAUGAUUUGUCUUGUAGCUUACUCGCUUAUGUUAUUUUACCUACGCUUAGGAUGUUGAGCGCAUGUCUCUCUCU
rnacentral:rRNA from 1 species